UCCAGUGCAGAGGAAACGAAGAAAGAAACCCACGUCCUUUAAAGGAAUACGAAGUAUAUUUUCUUACUAUAAGCUCGUUUUUCUAUGUUCGACGAUAUAGUGUUUUCAAUAAAACCGAAUCUACUUCGAUCAUAAUUUUCUUAAGAUUUAUUUUACUUUAUGUGUAUUGUUUUGCCUGCAUCUAUGUGUGAGAGAGCCGGAUCCUCUGAAACUGGAGUUACUGACCGUUGUGAGCUGGGAAUUCAUCUUGGGUCCUCUGGAAGAGUAGCCAGUGCUAUUAACCGUUGAGCCAAAUCUCUAGCCCCGACCAUAAUUUUCUAAGUAGCACCACGUUGAGGCAGGCAAAUGGGAGUUGGCACACUGUAGAGUAUUUGGGAUGCAAUGUUUGUUUUGUGUUGAUCUUCAACUUCUGGCUUUGCAAUACCAAAAAACUCACCAAAGAGGAACCCAACCCCCACCCCAGAAGUGGAUAUACAAACAUUAAUUGGCAAUGAAUUGCUGCUGAGGCCAGAAAAGGGAGUCAAAUCCCUUGGAAAUGGAGUUAUGGAUGCUUCGAGUCACCAUGUGAACAUUGGAACUCCUCUGCAAAAGCAGAACAUGAUCUAAACACGCUGAGCCCCGAGAUUUAUUUUAUUUUUAAUUAUGAAUGUGUCUACGCAUGUGAAUUCAGGUACCUGCAGAAGCCAGAAAUGGUUUCUCUGUGUAGCCCUGGUUGUAGUGUCCCACUCAAACUUCUAGUAGAAGAACCUGCUGAGGAAAACACAGUGAACCGCAGUGACACCUUCGUCUAUAAUGCAUUCUUGCUAAGCAAUACUUCUCCUGGGCUGUCAGAGCACACCAAGACAAAAUGCCUAGUCCAUCAGUGGACAAGAGAGGCUGCCUUUAAAUGCCAACUUCCACUCAGUGACCUUGUGCAAACCACAUACAAGUGGGAACAACAAACUGGGUAUACUCAAAUCCAACUGGACAGAGGACUUAACCUACACUCACUGUAUAUCACACACCAUUCUGUAUACCAUGGCAAGAAAGCUUCGGACUCUUUGAAUGUUCUGCUUUCUGGAAAACGAAGUCACUUCCACUUGGUUAGGUCAAAACCAUUUGUUGUCCAAGAAAGAGGAAACAAAGCUUGAUUUGGGAAAUGAGAACAGCAUCACCACAUUCUUAGCUUAACUUUUGCCAAAAGAAAAAUGAGAUCAUGUUUGUUUUUUUGCCUUCCCCCACCCUAGUUUUAAACUUAUCAAAAAAUGACCAUUAAAAAUUCCCAAAAUAGAGCCCUGAAA